UUUUGUUUUUCUUAAAAAUAAAGAAAUCCAACUUUAUCUCUUCCACCGCUCACCAUAUUCUUUAUUCCUUGUCCACGCCAUUUUUUCAUCCAGAAAGUGGUCAUCUCCUAGAGUCUUCGAGUCUUUAGUUCAGCCACGUGAAGCUUCCUGCUUUUUCACUCCGUUCCUGCACGCCGAGCUUUCCAUUUCCUGGACACAGCCCCCUCCCCAUAGCACUCGGUCCUCACCUCGCCGGCCCUGGCUGCUGGUCGCCGUCGGCCGCGAGCUCUCCAGCGCAGGGGACUCCCUCUAUGGCUGGCGCCCCUGAUGGCCGGACCUCCACCUCGCCAUGGCCGGUUGCUCCUGCACUAGAUUAUCCUCAAGCCCGGUCGCGAUAUAGCAGCAACAGCCAUAAAACCCCAUCGUGUCACGCUCUCGACGUGUUCGACGGAAUAUCGCAGCAAGCUCCGCCCCGGAUCUGCACAGCCCCAACACGCCGCUGACCAGCGCCAUCGCGGCCACUACAGCUCCCUCCCAUCGUGUGCUCUGCCUCAUCGCACUCGCCGUGGUCGACGUCGACCUCACACAGCAACGUCGUCGAUCCGCGCAACCAUGACACACGUCGUCGUCUUACUAUUUGGACAGCCCCGGUCACGAUGUCAUCGAACCUUGCCCUCCGUCGAUGUCGGGCCUCGCGCAUCGCGUGCUCGACAAAAAUCUCAAACCUGUGGACAGCACACGCGCGACCCGAGUUUGAUUCUGCCAGGUACGAUAAUUGAUCACGUAAUGUGGAGGACAAAGGAUGGAUUAAUCUCAAGGUGAUGCUGAUGAAUAAACCUGAAGAAUGGAUGAUCUGAUGAAGUACUAGGAUGGGAGAUGCUCACCAAGUGGUCGUCAUUUAACAACACUAACGUAGUGUUAUCCCAG